UUGUUCUCAUUUCAGCAUCAUGUGUACGAAAACUGAUAAGAUACAGAGAAGAUAAGCAUGGCCCCUGCUCAAGGAUGACACACAAGGUUUAUGAACUGUUCCAUGCUUUU
rnacentral:snRNA from 1 species